GGGGACCCGCACAAGCAGCGGAGCAUGUGGUUUAAUUCGACGCGACGCGAAGAACCUUACCUGGGCUUGACAUGUUCCUGACCACCCUGGAAACAGGGUUUCCCUUCGGGGCAGGAUCACAGGUGGUGCAUGGCUGUCGUCAGCUCGUGUCGUGAGAUGUUGGGUUAAGUCCCGCAACGAGCGCAACCCCCGUCGCAUGUUGCCAGCAUUAAGUUGGGGACUCAUGUGAGACUGCCGGUGACAAACCGGAGGAAGGUGGGGAUGACGUCAAGUCAUCAUGCCCCUUAUGUCCAGGGCUACACACGUGCUACAUUGGCGCGUACAGAGGGCUGCGAUACCGCGAGGUGGAGCGAAUCCCUCAAAGCGCGUCUCGGUUCGGAUUGCAGGCUGAAACCCGCCUGCAUGAAGGUGGAGUUGCUAGUAAUCGCGGAUCAGCAUUGCCGCGGUGAAUACGUUCCCGGGUCUUGUACACACCGCCCGUCACACCACGGAAGCAAGCAACACCCGAAGCCUGUGGCCUAACCCGCAAGGGAGGGAGCAGUCGAAGGUGGGGCUCGUGACUGGGGUGAAGUCGUAACAAGGUAACCGUAAGGGC
rnacentral:rRNA from 1 species